AAGACUAGGAACACCUAUACCUUUUAUUUCAAAAAAACUUUUCAUCUGAGUGAAAAGACUCAGAUAAUAAAGGAAGACGAAAAGACCCCGCGGAACUUUACCUUCUCUUACAUUUCUGCUAAGGAGCACAAAAGUGUAAAAG
rnacentral:rRNA from 1 species